GGGUGGUGGUUCGUGGUUAUCGGCAUGAGGCUUGUAUGGUGGGUGGGGUGGUGAUUCGUGGUCAUUAGCGUCAGGAAGUCCUUCCGGUGAAGCCCGAGAUUGGCUAUUGGGUUGAGAGCUCGCGGUGUCGCUCGGCUUCCAUUGAGUUGCGUGUUCUAGAGUGCGAGGUAAGUUCUCUGUUUUAGAACGCUACUUGAAUAAAUUAAUUGCCUUGUUCUUCCCUGCUUGUGUGCAAUGUGUCCAUCAAAUUGGGUGUUGCCCUGUUCUUACCAAUAUGCGUGAAGUUGUUUGCACUGUGGAUAUUUCUGCUUUGGCACCUUAUAUGUAUCCUGUGAUAAUGUGAGUUGUUUGGCUUAUAUCGGG
rnacentral:lncRNA from 1 species